rnacentral:tRNA from 2 species
CGGGGUAUGGCGCAGUCCGGUAGCGCACUUGCAUGGGGUGCAAGGGGUCGUAGGUUCGAAUCCUACUAUCCCGACCA